UGAAAAAAAUGAGGAGCAAAAAAACAGAAGAGAAUAGAGCAGAAAAUCUGAAAGAGGUGGAAGAAAAUGAGGAGAAAAAAAGGAUGAUAAAGAACUCCAAAAUGAGUAAGAAGAGGUAUAAGAGAAAAGAAACGAUACUAAAAUUAUCUUUAAAUUCAUUCCAAACUCAAAUGGAACAACUGUAUUUAAAAAGUUGAUGAUAAUUUUUUUAUAUUUAUUUUUUAUAUACCUGAAAUCAGGAACUCUAUUCUUACCUUUGCUGUUGCUGCUGCUGCUGGUUUUGUUUUUUUCUGUGUUUGUUGCUGCAAACAAUGAAUUUCCACAACCCAUGUUUUCCGAAAACAGGAGAUUAAAAUAAUGAGAAAAAGCAACGCAGAUAGAAAAAAAUUUAAUAAAUCCUUGGCUUAAAUUCCCUUUUCAUUCCCUCUCUGCUGUCACUGUGAGUCUGGAGAUGAGAUUUAACUCCAGAGAAUCAAAACAGGGAAAAGGAGGGAGCAAGAAACAGGCACCACCUUCUCAUUCUCUUUCUCCUCCUCCUCCGCCACCUUCCAUAUGAAUGUCUUGGUCUCAUUCAGAGUUGGUGUGAAGUGGAUACUAAAUCACUGGACUGUGAUGUGAACCUUCAUCCUGCCAUAACUGCGUUUCUUUUCGGAAUCCAGUCGCGGGCCAGAUUUGACCGUACAGUGGAUUUGCCCUAGAGCCGCCAGUUGAUGGUCAAUGAUGUAGAGAAUAAACCUCCCAAUAUUCCACCACACGGAAUCUAAUAAUAACCUGAAAGAGGA